rnacentral:rRNA from 1 species
AAGCCUGACGGAGUAACGCCGCGUGAGGGACGAAGGCCUCUGGGCUGUAAACCUCUUUUCUCAAGGAAGAAGAUAUGACGGUACUUGAGGAAUAAGCCACGGCUAAUUCCGUGCCAGCAGCCGCGGUAAUACGGGAGUGGCAAGCGUUAUCCGGAAUUAUUGGGCGUAAAGCGUCCGCAGGCGGCCUUUCAAGUCUGCUGUUAAAGCGUGGAGCUUAACUCCAUUAUGGCAGUGGAAACUGAUCGGCUUGAGUAUGGUAGGGGCAGAGGGAAUUCCCGGUGUAGCGGUGAAAUGCGUAGAUAUCGGGAAGAACACCAGUGGCGAAGGCGCUCUGCUGGGCCAUUACUGACGCUCAUGGACAAGAGCCAGGGGAGCGAAAGG